rnacentral:rRNA from 1 species
AACGAACGCUGGCGGCAUGCCUAACACAUGCAAGUCGAACGAGACCUUCGGGUCUAGUGGCGCACGGGUGCGUAACGCGUGGGAACCUGCCCUUAGGUUCGGAAUAACUCCCCGAAAGGGGUGCUAAUACCGGAUAAUGUCUUCGGACCAAAGAUUUAUCGCCUUUGGAUGGGCCCGCGUUGGAUUAGCUAGUUGGUAGGGUAAAAGCCUACCAAGGCGACGAUCCAUAGCUGGUCUGAGAGGAUGAUCAGCCACACUGGGACUGAGACACGGCCCAGACUCCUUCGGGAGGCAGCAGUGGGGAAUAUUGGACAAUGGGCGAAAGCCUGAUCCCACAAUGCCGCGUGAGGGAUGAAGGCCUUAGGGUUGUAAAGCUCUUUUACCCGGGAUGAUAAUGACCGUACCGGGAGAAUAAGCUCCGGCCAACCCCGU